ensembl:misc_RNA Metazoa_SRP Metazoan signal recognition particle RNA
GCCGGGCAUGGUGGCGAAUGCCUGUAAUCCUAGCUACUUGGGAGGCUGAGGCAGGAGAAUCGCUUGAACCCGGGAGGCAGAGGUUGCAGUGAGCUGAGAUCGCGCCACUGCACUCCAGCCUGGGCGACAGAGUGUGACUCUGUCUCAA